AUGCAACAAGGGCAUCUGUUAGCAUAUUUGAGUAAGGCGCUCUGUCACAAGAAUCAAGCUCUGAGCACAUAUGAAAAGGAAUGCUUGGCCCUGCUGAUGGCGGUGGAAAAGUGGCGCCCGUACUUGCAACACCAACGCUUCAUCAUCCGCACCAAUCAUCAGGCAUUGCGACACUUAUCGGAGCAACGAUUGAGCACCGGGAUUCAACACAAGGCAUUUGUGAAGUUGCUGGGCUUGGAUUAUACUAUCCAAUACAAGAAGGGCGUGACAAACACAGCAGCGGACUCCUUGUCUCGCAAG
rnacentral:rRNA from 1 species